rnacentral:rRNA from 1 species
GGGGGCAACCNUGAUCCAGCAAUGCCGCGUGAGUGAAGAAGGCCUUCGGGUUGUAAAGCUCUUUUGUCAGGGAAGAAACGGUGNCCCCUAAUACGGGNUACUAAUGACGGUACCUGAAGAAUAAGCACCGGCUAACUACGUGCCAGCAGCCGCGGUAAUACGUAGGGUGCAAGCGUUAAUCGGAAUUACUGGGCGUAAAGCGUGCGCAGGCGGUUAUGUAAGUCAGAUGUGAAAUCCCCGGGCUNAACCUGGGAAUGGCAUUUGAGACUGCAUGGCUAGAGUGUGUCAGAGGGGGGUAGAAUUCCACGUGUAGCAGUGAAAUGCGUAGAGAUGUGGAGGAAUACCGAUGGCGAAGGCAGCCCCCUGGGAUAACACUGACGCUCAUGCACGAAAGCGUGGGGAGCAAACAGGAUUAGAUACCCUGGUAGUCCACGCCCUAAACGAUGUCUACUAGUUGUCGGGUCUUAAUUGACUUGGUAACG